rnacentral:rRNA from 1 species
AGUUCGUGACUUGAGUUGUUCCCUUCAGUGGGGUAACGAACGCAACCCUUGUUGCCUGUUACAAGUGUCAGGCGAGACUGCCCCCUUUCGGGGGAGGAAGGUGGGGAUGACGCCAGGUCAGCAUGUCCCUUGAUGUCCUGGGCUACACACAUGAUACAAUGGCCGCUACAACGGGUUGCGACGGGGUAACCCUAAGCUAAUCCUAAUAAAGGCGGCCUCAGUUCGGAUUGAGGGCUGCAACUCGACCUCAUGAAGUUGGAAUUGCUAGUAAUCGCGGGUCAGCUAUACCGCGGUGAAUACGUUCUCAAGUCUUGUACUCACCGCCCGUCAACUCAAGGGAGUUGGGAGUACCCGAAAUCUCGCGUUCGCGGGCCUAAGGUAAACUCAAUGACAGGGAGUAAGUCGUAACAAGGCACGGCUAGCGGAAGCUG